rnacentral:rRNA from 1 species
GCUUAUAAUCGUUCAUUGCAUUCUACUACUAAGAUGUGCCCUUUUGAAGUUGUGUAUGGUUUCCUACCUCGUGCACCUAUUGAUUUGUUGCCUCUUCCAUCUUCGGAGAAGGAAACAGACCCUCGUGGUCAGGUUGAUCGUGCUCCGAUUGACUUAAUUCCCGGUGCUUCACUGCCGAACCGUGCACCAUACCGUACCAAUCCAGAGGAGACGAAGGAGAUUAUGCGUCAAGUACAAGAGCUUCUCGACAAAGGUUAUAUACGCGAAUCCCUUAGUCCUUGUGCUGUUCCUAUUAUUCUAGUGCCGAAAAAGGAUGGUACAUCACGUAUGUGUGUUGAUUGUAGAGGCAUUAAUAAUAUUACUAUUCGUUAUCGUCAUCCUAUUCCUAGGCUAGAUGAUAUGCUUGAUGAAUUGAGUGGCUCUACAAUAUUCUCCAAAGUUGAUUUGCGUAGUGGCUACCAUCAAAUUCGUAUGAAAUUGGGUGAUGAAUGGAAAACAGCAUUUAAAACUAAGUUUGGAUUAUAUGAGUGGUUAGUCAUGCCUUUUGGGUUAACUAAUGCACCUAGUACUUUCAUGAGAUUAAUGAACGAAGUUUUACGUGCUUUCAUUGGACGAUUUGUGGUAGUUUACUUUGAUGACAUACUGAUUUAUAGCAGAUCUUUGGAAGAACUUUUGGAACAUUUACGUGCUGUUUUUAUUGCUCUACGUGAUGCACGUUUGUUUGGUAACCUUGGGAAGUGCACCUUUUGCACCGACCGAGUAUCUUUUCUUGGCUAUGUUGUUACUCCACAAGGAAUUGAAGUUGACAAAGCCAAGAUUGAAGCUAUUGAGAGUUGGCCGCAGCCCAAAACGGUCACACAAGUGAGGAGUUUUCUUGGCCUCGCUGGAUUCUAUAGGCGUUUUGUGAGAGAUUUCAGCACCAUUGCUGCACCUCUCAACGAGCUUACAAAGAAGGAUGUGCCUUUUGUUUGGGGUACCGCACAGGAAGAAGCCUUCACGGUAUUGAAAGAUAAGUUGACACAUGCUCCUUUACUCCAACUUCCUGAUUUUAAUAAGACUUUUGAGCUUGAAUGUGAUGCUAGUGGAAUUGGAUUAGGAGGUGUGUUAUUACAAGAUGGCAAACCUGUUGCAUACUUUUCUGAAAAAUUGAGUGGGCCUAGUCUGAAUUAUUCUACUUAUGAUAAAGAAUUAUAUGCUCUUGUUCGGACUUUAGAAACAUGGCAACAUUAUUUAUGGCCCAAAGAGUUUAUUAUACAUUCUGAUCAUGAAUCUUUGAAACAUAUUAAAAGUCAAGCUAAACUGAAUCGUAGACAUGCUAAAUGGGUUGAAUUCAUUGAGACUUUCCCUUAUGUCAUUAAACACAAGAAGGGAAAAGAAAAUGUUAUUGCUGAUGCAUUGUCUCGUCGCUAUACUAUGCUUUCACAACUUGACUUCAAAAUAUUUGGUUUGGAGACCAUCAAAGAUCAAUAUGUGCAUGAUGCUGAUUUUAAAGAUGUAAUGCAGAAUUGUAAAGAAGGAAGAAUGUGGAACAAGUUUGUCGUUAACGAUGGAUUUGUGUUUCGUGCUAACAAGCUAUGCAUUCCAGCUAGCUCCGUUCGUCUUUUGUUGUUGCAGGAGGCGCAUGGAGGAGGAUUAAUGGGACACUUUGGCGUGAAGAAGACGGAGGACGUACUUGCUACACAUUUCUUUUGGCCAAAGAUGAGACGGGACGUUGAGCGUUUUAUUGCUCGAUGCACUACAUGUCAAAAAGCUAAGUCACGACUCAAUCCUCAUGGUUUAUAUAUGCCUUUGCCUGUACCUAGUGUUCCUUGGGAGGAUAUAUCUAUGGACUUUGUUUUAGGUUUACCUCGAACAAAGAAGGGGAGGGAUAGCAUAUUUGUUGUCGUGGAUAGAUUCUCGAAAAUGGCACACUUUAUACCAUGUCAUAAAAGCGAUGAUGCUGUUAAUGUUGCUGAUUUGUUCUUUCGUGAAAUUAUUCGCUUGCAUGGUGUGCCAAAUACUAUUGUUUCAGAUCGUGAUACUAAAUUUCUUAGCCACUUUUGGAGAUGUUUAUGGGCUAAGUUGGGGACUAAACUGCUUUUUAGUACUACUUGUCACCCCCAAACUGAUGGACAAACUGAAGUAGUCAAUAGAACGUUGUCCACUAUGCUUAGGGCUGUUUUGAAGAAUAAUAAGAAAAUGUGGGAGGAAUGCUUGCCUCAUAUUGAAUUUGCUUAUAAUCGUUCAUUGCAUUCUACUACUAAGAUGUGCCCUUUUAAAGUUGUGUAUGGUUUCCUACCUCAUGCACCUAUUGAUUUGUUGCCUCUUCCAUCUUCGGAGAAGGUUAAUUUUGAUGCUAAACAACGUGCUGAAUUGAUUUUAAAAAUGCAUGAGUUAACUAAGGAAAACAUUGAGCGCAUGAAUGCUAAAUAUAAACUUGCUGGAGAUAAGGGUAGAAAACAUGUUGCGUUUGCACCUGGAGAUCUUGUUUGGUUACAUUUGCGUAAGGAUAGAUUUCCUGAUUUGCGCAAAUCAAAGUUAAUGCCACGUGCUGAUGGUCCCUUUAAGGUGUUAGAGAAAAUAAAUGAUAAUGCAUAUAAACUUGAGCUGCCUGCAGAUUUUGGGGUUAGUCCCACUUUUAACAUUGCAGAUUUGAAGCCUUAUUUGGGUGAGGAAGAU